rnacentral:rRNA from 1 species
GACGAACGCUGGCGGCGCGCCUAACACAUGCAAGUCGAACGGAGCUGAGAGAAGCUUGCUUUUCUUAGCUUAGUGGCGAACGGGUGAGUAACGCGUGAGUAACCUGCCCUGGAGUGGGGGACAACAGUUGGAAACGACUGCUAAUACCGCAUAAGCCCACGAUCCGGCAUCGGAUUGAGGGAAAAGGAUUUAUUCGCUUCAGGAUGGACUCGCGUCCAAUUAGCUAGUUGGUGAGGUAACGGCCCACCAAGGCGACGAUUGGUAGCCGGACUGAGAGGUUGAACGGCAACAUUGGGACUGAGACACGGCCCAGACUCAUACGGGAGGCAGCAGUGGGGGAUAUUGCACAAUGGGGGAAACCCUGAUGCAGCGACGCCGCGUGGAGGAAGAAGGUUUUCGGAUUGUAAACUCCUGUCGUUAGGGACGAUAAUGACGGUACCUAACAAGAAAGCACCGGCUAACUACGUG